UACGGGGGGAGCAAGCGUUGUUCGGAUUUACUGGGCGUAAAGGGCGCGUAGGCGGCCACCGCAAGUCAAUUGUGAAAUCUCCGGGCUUAACUCGGAAAGGUCAACUGAUACUGCGGGGCUAGAGUGCGGAAGGGGCAACUGGAAUUCUUGGUGUAGCGGUGAAAUGCGUAGAUAUCAAGAGGAACACCUGAGGCGAAGGCGGGUUGCUGGGCUGACACUGACGCUGAGGCGCGAAAGCUAGGGGAGCAAACAGG
rnacentral:rRNA from 1 species